rnacentral:rRNA from 1 species
UACGAAAGGGGCUAGCGUUGCUCGGAAUCACUGGGCGUAAAGCGCACGUAGGCGGGUUGCCAAGUCGGGGGUGAAAUCCUGGAGCUCAACUCCAGAACUGCCUUCGAUACUGGCGAUCUUGGAGCCCGGGAGAGGUGAGUGGAACUGCGAGUGUAGAGGUGAAAUUCGUAGAUAUUCGCAAGAACACCAGUGGCGAAGGCGGCUCACUGGCCCGGUACUGACGCUGAGGUGCGAAAGCGUGGGGAGCAAACAGG